rnacentral:lncRNA from 1 species
GAAAAAUGUCGAAAGAGCUGAGAUGGUACCAUGAGCAUGAAGCCGAUCCGCUCCACCGGCAUGACGGGCCAGUCUUCCAGCCUUGGGAUAUGGGUGAGCCCGAAAACAUACCUGUAGUUGUAGGGUGUAGUAUGGGAUUCAGAAACUAGACAAUCACAUGGAUAUUCAAUGUCAAUCAGCAGGUCCUCAUAACAUACCAAAGAACAAUGUUGGUUUCCUCCAGGGACCGAUCCUUCUUCACCCACGUAGCUAAGCCCUCGUCGAUGCGCGGAUUCUGGUUGGGGAACUCACCUCCAGGGAACAUCUCAUCGUUUUUGUAUGAUGUGACCCAAAGGUUAUGCUUCAAGAACCCAGCUCUUCUCAAGAAUUUGGCCUCGGGUAGGGCCAGUGGCAGACAAUUGGAACCAGGUAUGAGCUUGUAACCUGUGCGGUCGUCCAGUGCGGUUUACAUUUCUUGUGUUUCUUACCUGAUUAACCCAUAAUAAAGAACAAAAGAGUCAGUAUCACCAGAAUUUGAGACUCACAUCCACGUACGUUAUCUGUGCUUACAUUGGCGUGCAUUCUUUCUAUGAUUAAGGAAAAAGAAAUAAGAUAGAGAAAAGGGGAGAAAACAUCUAGCGUGCAUUCUUACAAUCCAAUGGCGCACAGAUGAGGGGUCACAAUCACGCAUUGCCUGCAGCUCAGUCUUCAAAAGCUUUUCUUCAGCAUAGAAAGCAUUGUUGUGCACAUUAUUUGGGCCUGCAUCUUCAACUUUAACGUUCACCUCAACCACCUGCAAUGGAAGAGAAGCAAUAGUAUCCAAAGUAGUUGGUAAAAUGAGGUGAAGGGGGGAAAAGGUAUUUUCUUUGUGAAGAUUAAAGUUCAAUUAAGCUUUAAGCAGCCAAGUUUCAUCUAUAAAUAGUGGACUGCUAAGACGUCGAUGAAAUAAUGUGAUAAUAAACAAAAAGGAAAAAAAAAAGGGUAUGGCCCAUUAUCAUGGAGGAAGUAGAUGACGGGUGUAAUUCAGAUUUGAGGAUUUCGAAAUGGAACUUUUGAUUAUCUCAUGAUUAAACCUAUGAGAGAGGGCUGACAAACAACCUACCUGAUUAUAAGGCUCAUUGGGUUUGCAAUCAACUGCCAUGUCCAUACGGGCAACAAAGAAAUGCUGAUGAACUGGUGCAUACAGACCAGGGGCAAUAGUUGUGCCAUAUUUCCUUUGUUCCCCAGGCAUUAGAGCUCCCAAGCUAAGAAUUCCAGUAAGCUUUAUCUCUGCUUCUAUCUUACCAUCCUACAACCAGAAAGAACGAAAAGGAUAAGUAUAUAGAUAAAUUAUGAUGCAAUGCACAACAAAAGUUGGACACAAGCUCCUUCAAUCAAAAAAAGUCAGAACUGAAUUACAUAACAGGUAACCAUAAAUACAGCAGGUGCUACCAGAAAAAAGGCAAGUUAACAUUUGUAUUCACCUGAUAAAAGUGCCAGUAAAAUCCAUACUCAUAGUUAGCAACUGUGCAUAUGAAUGAUACAGUAAGCCUCCUUGAUCGUCUUACUUCCGCCAACCCAGUUCUCCAGUCUUGGUGUUUCCAAAGUAUUCCAUGGUCCUCCUCAUGUAAACAAACACAAUUCUCAAUGGUCUCCACACCACCAGUAAAAUUUGUAAAAUGUGCAUCAAAGUACUUUAUAAAUCCCAAACAGUCACAUCCCUACAAAUCAAUAAUAGAAUAUAGUUAGACAAACAUACCAGGAGGCAUAUCAAGGCAUUGAGUGCAAGAUGCACAGUUCUGGAAAGCAUCUUGCCUAGUGCAAAAAGAAAAAAUAAUCUCAAAAGUUCCUAUGAGAAUUUGGUAAAGAUAGUUCCUAGAGCAAUUGAUAAAGCAGUGCAAUUUAAUUUUCAAACUUAAUUUAAGUGAGGACAAACCAAAAAAAGGCAGGAAUUCCUAGAAAAUGGCAAACUAAAUUGAUCAUAGUAUUUAUCCUAAUAGAGGUAUAAAGUUAAUCAUGAAAAUUCAAUGCUUCAGUCAAUAAAAAGUGUUUGAACAGUGGAACAAUGUUCAAACAUUACUUUAACCACUAACUUGUAUCGCAUUCUUUUCAUAAAACAUAAUGAAAUAUAAUAUUCUGAAAGUAUAUUUCAGAACUCCACUAAUAUUAUUUUGCAUAUAAUUGAUCUAGAUAUUCAUAAAGGCAUUGUUAGUCUUUAAGAUAAUUUGACUUAUUAUCUUAAAGACCCCAGGGACAAUAGGCGCUCCAUGAAGAAGAUCAAAAUAGGCGCGAUGUGGCUGCUUGCUUGAGCCUGCAGGAAGUGGUUCAUGCGACUCCCAUGGGGGAGACAAACUGCUAUGCCUGUAUUCAGAGCCUGCAACUGGUGCUUAUAUGUGUGCGAUCAGUGUGUUGCCUGGUACUGCAGGGUAGGUAGAGCGCUGAUCUGGUUAUCUCAAAACGUGUAAACGCUCAAACGGUGAAUUUGGUGCCUUGUUUUUAUAAAAUGGGGCAGGGCAAGAUGCCUUUUACUCUAAAAAAAGAUAAUUUUGACUUACAUGCAUUCUGAAAGGAGCAUGUUUUUGGCAAGAGUGAGUGCCUUCUAUAUGACACUGAGGUAUCAUGGAAAUGCAAGUUUACUCAAUACCUGACACUAAUCAAGAUUAUUUGCAUGAUUACACCUGGAAGUUUCUUUCAUAUUUGUACUAGAUAUGCCACCAAAAAUCAAAUGAAGACCACUUAUGCUACAGAGAAAACACCAAACCUUCUUAAGAGAGUGUGCAUUCUUUCCCAACCCAUCUUCUCCAGCAUCAAAUGCAUUUUUCCGAUAAUGUGGUUCAUUUGGAUCUCCAUAAGGAACAACCAUCUCAACAAAACUCAACCUGUGAGCAAUAGGUCGGCGUCCACGAUUCCCAUCAAUGUAUGCAACAGAAUGGAUAACCAAACCCUCUUUAGGGGUGAAGCCAAUACGGAAAUUCCACUGGCAAGAUACAUACAAAGAGUGAAUCUCAAGACCAGGUCUAAUUUAAUAUUGGGUCAACAAAUGCAUCAACACUAGCACGCACUUUUUACCUUUUGCCAUUCCACAAAAUAGCCAUUGAUACGGAAACUUGGGCCUUCAGGUUGAUUGAUAAUAAGAGGUUUCACAUCACUUCGAUCAACACCACCUCGUGUUUCACCAGGGGUGUAGUUCCUCAAAUGAUCUGGUGGGGGCAGAGGCACUAACUUCCGAUCUUCAAACUCUAUCACAACAUUGUUCUGCAUAUCAACAACAACAUGGAUUCCUUCAACAGGACGUGCAUAACCAUUCUCCAUAGGGCUAUCACUUUCCGUUCUACAAAAGAUCAGAGGUUUGCCAAUUCUUCGGUUGGGAGCAUCAGCAUCACUGUAGUAGCCUGCACACCUGGUUUUUUUUAGCAGCAAAGAUCAUGUUUUGGGUAAGAUUGCUACCAGGUCUGAACAAUAAUAUUUUGUAGUGCAUUCAAUUACAGAAAUUAUUUAUGUUUGGCUUACCAUGCAUCUACCAUGACAAGAUCCAUGUCAUCUAUGCCUCUUUUCUUCAUUGCUUCAAUAAAAGGGGGAUAACUUUUUACAGUAGCUUCACAUUCAGCAUAUUCCAUAGCGUCCUGCAAAACACACAAGCACUAUCAAAGUAAUGUCCUGCAAAAUACACAAGCAAUAUCCAACUAAGGCUAGCACUUGACUUAAUUAUUGGACGAGCAUGAGAUAAUAUUUCUUUGCGGCACAUUAGUAUUGACUUAAGACUAGCGUAUAAUUCCAUGCAAUUCAAGCAGGUAAUAAGGAUCAGUUUUCUAAUUGGCAAAUGCCACAGUUUACCAGCAAUAACUUAGAAGAGAUUAUCGGGUAAAUACAAAAACUCAAUGCAUAUCAUUACUAAAUAUUUUCAAUGUACAUGUUAAACAGUGCUAGAUGGACUCUAUGAUGGGGUAAAAUGGUCAACAGAAAAAAGACAGCAUAUGACCAAUUUAUAUAAACAUACCAUUGCAGGUUGAACAUCUGGAACAACUUCUGAUGAUAUGACCUUGCCUCUGUGAUGUCCACCCCGAGCAGCAGCAUGCACUUCAGAGAGUUCUACAACCCAAACACUAGUCUCGUUUGUUUGUUUGUUGUAGACAACAAGCCUGGCUCUCCU